rnacentral:rRNA from 1 species
UGGGGAAUUUUGGACAAUGGGGGAAACCCUGAUCCAGCCCUCCCGCGUGUGCGAUGAAGGCCUUCGGGUUGUAAAGCACUUUUGGCAGGAAAGAAACGGCAUGGGUUAAUACCCCGUGAAACUGACGGUACCUGCAGAAUAAGCACCGGCUAACUACGUGCCAGCAGCCGCGGUAAUACGUAGGGUGCAAGCGUUAAUCGGAAUUACUGGGCGUAAAGCGUGCGCAGGCGGUUCGGAAAGAAAGAUGUGAAAUCCCAGAGCUCAACUUUGGAACUGCAUUUUUAACUACCGGGCUAGAGUGUGUCAGAGGGAGGUGGAAUUCCGCGUGUAGCAGUGAAAUGCGUAGAUAUGCGGAGGAACACCGAUGGCGAAGGCAGCCUCCUGGGAUAACACUGACGCUCAUGCACGAAAGCGUGGGGAGCAAACAGG